rnacentral:rRNA from 1 species
GCUGGCGGCGUGCCUAACACAUGCAAGUCGAACGGGGUAGCAAUACCCAGUGGCAGACGGGUGAGUAACACGUGGUCAACCUACCUCUGUGUGGGGGAUAACUAGCCGAAAGGUUAGCUAAUACCGCAUACGAUCGUUUGGAGGCAUCUUCGAACGAUGAAAGGAGCAAUCCGCACGGAGAGGGGACUGCGUCCCAUUAGUUAGUUGGUGGGGUAACGGCCUACCAAGACUCCGAUGGGUAGCUGGCUUGAGAGAGCGACCAGCCACACUGGAACUGAGACACGGUCCAGACUCCUACGGGAGGCAGCAGUGAGGAAUUUUCCGCAAUGGGCGAAAGCCUGACGGAGCGACGCCGCGUGUGGGAAGAAGGCCUUCGGGUCGUAAACCACUGUCGAAGGGGACGAUAUUGACGGUACCCUUGGAGGAAGCCCCGGCUAACUACGUGCCAGCAGCCGCGGUAAGGCGUAGGGGGCAAGCGUUGUCCGGAAUUAUUGGGCGUAAAGC